rnacentral:rRNA from 1 species
CCUACGGGAGACUGCAGUGGGGAAUAUUGGGCAAUGGGCGCAAGCCUGACCCAGCAACGCCGCGUGAAGGAAGAAGGCUUUCGGGUUGUAAACUUCUUUUCUCAGGGACGAAGAAAGUGACGGUACCUGAGGAAUAAGCCACGGCUAACUACGUGCCAGCAGCCGCGGUAAUACGUAGGUGGCAAGCGUUAUCCGGAUUUACUGGGAGGAAAGGGCGUGUAGGCGGGGAUGCAAGUCAGAUGUGAAAACCACGGGCUCAACCUGUGGCCUGCGUUUGAAACUGUUUUUCGUGAGUACUGGAGAGGCAGACGGAAUUCCUAGUGUAGCGGUGAAAUGCGUAGAGAUUAGGAGGAACACCAGUGGCGAAGGCGGUCUGCUGGACAGCAACUGACGCUGAGGCGCGAAAGCGUGGGGAGCAAACAGGAUUAGAUACCCGGGUAGUC